rnacentral:rRNA from 1 species
UGGCGGACGGGCGAGUAAUGUCUGGGAAACUGCCCGAUGGAGGGGGAUAACUACUGGAAACGGUAGCUAAUACCGCAUAACGUCGCAAGACCAAAGAGGGGGACCUUCGGGCCUCUUGCCAUCGGAUGUGCCCAGAUGGGAUUAGCUAGUAGGUGGGGUAACGGCUCACCUAGGCGACGAUCCCUAGCUGGUCUGAGAGGAUGACCAGCCACACUGGAACUGAGACACGGUCCAG